rnacentral:tmRNA from 1 species
UUACGCACUCGCCGCUUAAACUAAGCUGCGACGUCAAAUCGGGGUGCGUCCCCACCCCCGAGGCGACGUCACUUUGGGGACUGCUCUGUACUGUGUAGUCGGUAUGGGUACAGAAAAGAUUAAACCGGCUAGCUGAAGGCCCUUUUGUUGUUUUGGGGACCUAAAGCGAAAGAUCCGAAACAACUGAGCAUGGAGAUGCCUGGCAGGGAGCAUGUAUGGACCGGAGUUCGAUUCUCCGCGCCUCCACCA